rnacentral:lncRNA from 1 species
CCUCCCCAAAAGUCCCCGCAGGUAUACUGCCCCUGGUCUUGGCACCGGCAGUCCCACUGACGGCGGGCAUGCCCACUUCCUCCGUGCCGAGGGGUGGCGCCGCGAAUCGCCGUGGUCGCCUGCAGCACCCGGGCAUGUCGUGGCCCAUCGUGGGUAGCGCGUUCAAGAAAAAGUACACGUGCAACCUGUGCAGCUACUCGACCGACUACCCGACCAACAUCCAGCGCCACAUGCUGACCCACACGGGCGAGCGGCCCUUCCGCUGCGACAUCUGCGGCAAGGGCUUCACCACCAAGCAAAACCUGGAGAGCCACAGACUUCAGCACGUCAAGAGCACCUGGUUGCCGAUGUAGCACAUGUGCACUGAAGCGUUCUUGCCCUCCUUGUUAAUGAUUUCAUUUUGAUUUUCUGGCUUUGUUCUCCUUGUAAGUGCGGGCAGUUGUCCUCUCACGACACUCAACUGGGUUCGCGGAAGUUUUCGGCAGCAUAUGCGCUUUUUUUCUUCCCCGCUAGCAGUUGUUCCACCUCCCUCCAGCCAUGCUUGUCUUUCGUUAUUGCUGUGUGUCCAAAGAUGAGUGCAUAGCGCUGCUCUUUGUGGACGCGUGAGAGCCACACAAGUUUAUGCAGUAUACCGUGAAGGAAGGACCGGGACUGACUGUGCCUUUUUUUUAAUAUACUAACUGCUUGUCUGAUGCCGGAAGAUUUGCAUGAGGUCUUUUCUAUAUGAAAGACACUUGUAGAUCCUCUUUCCUGGCAUUCAGUCAAGCUUUUCCACUGCAGCAUGUUUGCAAAGCAUUCACGUAUGAAGGUUGACAAGAAGCUAGCUGUGUUGAGACGAAUCAUCCAACGUGCACGAAGGUCAUUCUUGAAUGUCAUGUUAACCUUUUCAGUUAGGCUGCCCUCGCUCUUUUAUAAUUCUGCCCUCAGAAAAGUGUCUUUGCUGUCUCUUUUUUUUUUUUUCUUUCUUUUUCAAAGUUUGGCAGUUGCGUGCUUGUACGCCACACGCGACUGGCCUUUUGUUGAUGUUGCAACCUCAAUUAUUUACACAUCUUGGUCGCUUCCAUAAAUUUUGGUGGAGUCUGCCACACUGUACAGUUAUUCUAAAGCUCCCAUUUUCUGGCAUGAUGUUCUGGCUUUGCACUAACAUCACGUUGCCUUCCCCACCAACGUGCGUGGCGACGUUCAUUUAACCAGUACUCACACUGUCAUAUAUUUCAAGAGCACUGCAAGUGCUGCCUUGCACUUUGCUGUUGUUUCAAUCACUGGGCUCUCCUGCUGCUGCACAGGCAUUUUUGUAUUCAGAUGCCAAGAUUGCGAGGCAAACUUGUACAAAUGUGUUGGCUUUAAUUCCAGUCGUGCUCUUUCUUUGUUCAGUAAUUUCAAGUUUUUCGCGCUUCCAGAGCUCCAACAAAGUCUUUGACAUUUGCCCAUUGCCAAGUGCACCUUUGGUGUCCUUGCUAGGUGUAACUUAUCUCGUUCUUAUUCCCAGACCGGUUUCAACAUUGUCACAAUUCCUGGCUGGUAGCUCGACCGACAUGUAAGAAGAUAGUGCCUAAGCAGUUACCAGCUCGUGUCAGUCUCGUGCGUCCCAUGUAAUCCUGUGAGCUCGAGGUGUAUUUGUCGUGCUUGUAUAGCCAUGACAGUUUCCUGUGGCCUGCUAGUCUAAUGCUGGGGUGGUGCUGUCGAAAUGGAGCAGUCGGUAUGCAAGAUUGAGUGUGACGGAUUUGGUUUCCUGGAUGUUGCAGUGUUAUUCCGUCUUCUCAGCUUUAGAUUCCAAGUUCUUUGACUCGAAGUUCAAACACUUGUGGUUUUGCAUUUAUCCAGCAGCUCGUUUUGGGCAUAGGGCAGUCUGAAGUUAGACCAUACACUCUAUUGAUGAUCGUGUAUCAGUUGAAGUAAAAUUUUGUGUACUUUUAUUUAAAUGCUUAUUAAUGGACUUCAGAAUAACGAAUUAAAAGAAGUUUGGGAAAGAUGCUAGAAUGCAGGCAGUGAACAAAAGAAUGAAAAAUAAUGGCCAUAACAUUAAGAGACGGGACGCUAGUGGUAUAACUUAGAAAACAAAAGCCAGUAUUGCUGACAGUGAAGUUCAGAUUAAAGUGAUGUUUCGAUAUCAUGUAAUGUAUAAAGCAGAUUAUAUAACCAUUAGUCUAUUAUAGAGUAGUAAAAGAAAUUCCGACAGAAAGAAAAUGUGGUCAACAAUGCCAGAGGACGGAGGCAUGUGGCAAGUUAGAGAUUUGUAGGCCUACGUUGGAUUCUGCCGAUGUAAGAAAGAAUUGAAAUCACCGGGAAACGUCUUCGUGGUAUAAUGGAUGUAAUAUUGGCUGACGAUAAAAAAAAAAACCCAGCUGGUCAAAAUUAAUCUCCAGCCUUUCGCUAAAGCCUCUGUCGCAUAAGUUAUCAUCUGCUCCCCGGCAUGUUUGUUUUAAUGCUGCUAAUGAAACCAAGAGAUGUGGCUCUCGUAUCUGCCCAAUCAGCUACGAUCAAAAAUAUUUCCUUUUAAACUUACAUUUACUUCUAAAUUUUAAAAUUAUUUUGAAUAAUUUGCACCCUUCACGAGCCCCAUAAAUAUUAUGUCACUGCUACUCGUAAAGGGAAAAAAACUAACAAUUUGCCGAUUUUUAUGUUUACGUUCACGUUUUCUGUUAUAUCUGUCUGAGCACACUUUGUACAUUUCAUUGUGCAUUGCUAAUGCUACAGCUGUCAGUCGGUAAUAAGAAUACUUGGGAUGUGACUCUCUUCUUGAGCUGUCUUUGGAUUUUGGGAGGAUAGGGCAAGGCAGUGCUUAGGACCACCCAUGCAGUUAGGCACUUGAAGUUUGCUCUGAAGUUGGCACUUUUCCACCCUUUGGGAUGUUAAGUUAAAGGGGUCCUGCAACACUUUUUCAGCAGGGUCAGAAAACGCUGCCGAUCGGUAGUCGAGGCUCCUCAUUCAUUAAUCAAUAAUCAGUUAGCGUACAAUCGGUGCCUCCAAAAUCUGUCAUCACUGAAGGUUAGGGUGGUUACCUUAGAGUGGUGCUGCCAUUUGUCUUUCGUCACUUUUGCGUUUUUUUUCCCUGGCAUAUCGAACAUUUCUCAAUGCAAGACUAACCUCCUUGUGUAUACAAAGUAACAGCUUAUUAAUAUAGCUUCACUUAAUUGCUUUAGUUUUGCUUAAUUAACGUCUGUGAUGACUCCUUUCUGGAGACCAAUUAAAAAAUGCACGCUUGCUUGCUUGCUUGCUUAUUUUGAUGCACGCUGUAACCACACUCGGUCUUCUAAUCUGUAGCCCUCCAGUUUAGCAUCUCUCAUUCAGAUGUAGAUUUCUGGUUCCGAGCAUUGCCAGUUGUAGCUACGGUCCUCCUCGAUCGAUGCUAGCCUCGGAAACUUUCUAAUUUUGUGUCUCCAAAGCUGCUUCUUGUUGUGCGUAGUGCCGGCGGCAUUAAUUCCUCUCACACACAGUCCGUAAUUGGCCUUCUAAAAUCCAGUCCAGACUUUGUUCGAGCUGCAAACCGCCCAGCUGAAACUUAAGAGCUUAUUUACUGGCUAGUCACCAGGCAUUUGUGCCAUGUGAAGGAGGAUCGAUACUUCACGUCUGAGCACGAGUGAAGGAGCGAACAUUUUUACCAGCCCAUUCUUUCCGCUUGUUCUUCCCCAUAAAAAAAAAAGGGGAAAAAAAAGAAAAACAAAGGAACAAGGAGGGACAAGCGAAAGAGUCUUCAUAUGUUGGUUGGUGUAUACGGUCAGUUUGUAUACCUGAUACGCUUGUGUUGUGUACUUUUGUGUUUCAUGAUCUUUUUUUUUGUGUGUGUGCGUGUGUGUGUGUGUGUGUACUGAACCAUUGCAUUGCAUGCUGCUUAUGAUUUUUCACCCUUUUUUGUAUACUUUAGAUUUGUAGUAGGUAUUCUUAUUGUGUCUGUUUAUGUACUCCUGGUAUUUUUUGCCUCGUAUUGCCAUUUUUCGGAGUUGACAGGGUUUUCUGAUACAAAGGAAGUGUGUGUUGUUGCUGUCCAAGCAAUAGUCUGUAUAUGGCCUUCGAAUAGGCUCUCUCUUAUUGAGAUUUAUUUUGAACAAUGGUGCUUCGAACUGAGAGUUUACUAUACGAAACCUGGUUCAGGCAAAGGAAAAGAAAGAAAACGAAAGAAAUGGGCAUUUUCGAGUGGCCUGAACGUUGCAUGUAAGCGAAGUCGUAUAUAUACGAGAAAACGCUAUGGUGGAUAGCAUUUGUACCCUGUUCUAUUUAUCGAAGAGAUGUUGAGCUGCUUUAUUUUAUUGUGUAAUCCAUUUGCAGUUAUUUUAUUGUGGGUAGGCCUUGUCAACGGUUGCAAAGUGAUGAUAUCUGCAUGCCAUCUGUCACAGCCGUGACUGUCAUGGUGCUUAUUGAACUGCUUUGUGUUGAAGGUUUUCUGUGUUUUGUAUAAGUGUGUAUGUCUUGGGUAGUGCAGCAUUUUUAGUAGUGUACAUACUCUUGAAGCUUGUGUGGAAAUUUUUUUGGGAUGGCCUUUACUAUUGCGCGUAUUUUUUCACUGUCGCGGGGUCUUGGUGGAACAAAUAUUAUUUUGAGCUGGCGAAGACAACUUCAUCGGCACUGCAACUUUUCCUGUAACGAGAUUGCUUCACGUUUGCGCCUUUGUUACAACUGAAACAGUUUUCACAACUGUCGAGCGUUUAUGUCAGUAGAGCACCAUGUAGCAAAAAAACAUUAUGGAAAGAAGCGUGUGGUUUUUAGUUUGUCUAACAGAAAGUGGAGGGGUUUGCCGGAAAGAUAAAUUUUUGCUUGCCAUCACAUUACAGGCUUUUUCACAAUUCAUGCAUAUUUGGAGAGCCGAGUCAUUUCAGCAUUCAAUUGAUAGGCUCUUGGAGGUCCAAUCACAUGAGAGAUGUCGUCAGACCUAUGUUGUCCUUAAGCUCUUUUUAACGGUUGUCAUGUCUCAGGUUUUAAGUGAUCAAAUUGGGCCCAUUUGCCAUCUGGCUCACUUUUUCUGCACUAUUUUCACUAGCCAUAAGUUACAUUGUGCACAGCUUCUUUUUUUUUGCUUUUUAUUAAUAACACAAGGCUUCAUGAAGUUGUGCUUUUGAAGUGGUUGGAAUGGAAGUUGCCACAUCCUGUACAUCUCAUAUUUUACCCAAAGGUUAUUGGCCUGCUUGCAGACCAACCAGCAACAUAAAGCCCUACAUGCAGUGCAGUUUGCAGCAUCACUCUCUUUGAUUUACAAAAUAGUAGAUGUUACAUUCACUUCUUUUCUUCUUUGUUACUGUUGAAAGCUCCACCAUUGUGACUUUUGUGUACGCAUCACGUCAGAAUACUUAGUUCCCUAGUUGUGCGCUGGAUUGACUUGGUUUCUGGUGACCACGGGGUCGGUGAUUGCCCCAGUGUGUUAAGGUGCUCUGUGCCAUUCCUUGCACGUCCGUAGGCCGUCGCCUUUGGCGCUCCACGGCUGCGCCACGCUCGGCAAAGACAGCUCCCGGCGGCGGCGGCGGCUUUCAUUGCCGUGUGUGCUGGCAAGACCUUUACCCGGAAGCACACAAUGGUGAACCACUUUUGCCUGCAGAAGCAGUGAUACUACACCUCGACUGCAGCUCGCAACACAGGCAAGACCGCAUUUGCUGGGGAAACGCCGCCGCACUAACACGCUCGCAGGGGCUGAGGCAACUUGGCAGUGUGUUGUUGACACGGUUGUGGAGCUGCUACCAAGGUGGCCAGAUGUCUUAAAGGGCCCCUAAAUGUGCGCUUAGCCAAGAAUUUCCGCUUCUCAUCGACACUGUCAAAGGCGCUGCAUAGUGCCCGAUCACACCGUUGUCAAAUGCUCCGUUAGGUCACCGGUCACGGCAUUGGCUUUCAUCACAAUACAGCACUUUAUGACGACUUUUUCUUCAGAAUUGGUGUGCCGGCCACGUCAAUAGCAUUGGCAAGCACUGUCGACGUGCCAUUGUUCAGGAGAAGCUGGUGGCAAAAUGUCGUCUCAUGACAGACGCCAGUGCCACGACAGUGUCGUGACAAUGUGUCAUAAAUAGGGCCUAGGCAAGAUUUCUCCAUACUGGUCAGUUGGCAGAUGUUUGUGACACAAGGACGCAGAGGAGGGCACACGUGUUCCUGAUAGUCUUCCUUGUUUGUUCCUUUUUGCACUUCCAUCACAGUUAUCUCUCUAACGAAUACUCUCAGGUUUCGAGAUCAGCCGUAUAGACUCUAAUGAUAAAGUCGGCCUCUCUGAUCAUAAAUGUCCUUCGUUCUUAUCGCUUUCUUUUGGUACGCAUUAAGCUUUCACAAUUCUACAGUGGCUGCUUCUUUGUUAAUGCUACCAGCUUCAUUUUACUGUCAUUUUUUUCCCCACAUGCCACAGCAUUGCUAGCUCCUAAGAGGGUUUUCUUGGACCUGUGUUUAAAAACCCUGGUGUUGAAAAUGCUAGUGUUACUCAUAUGGCAGAUGUCAGAGAUCAUUGACGGCACCACCUUAAGGCAGGCUCGGGUUUCCAUUUAAUGCGUGGGUUGCUUGCAGAUAUCUCUGCAGCAAUGACUGAUCUGCAGAACCGCGACAAGUGGCUCUACGUAUGGCCGCUCGUUACUUUGAGAUAUCCGUAGCUGUUUAGAGGCCCUUUAAGAAAUGCAAGCUUGGCCCUGCUGAACUUACCCGCAUUGCUUGUUUGCCAACAGCCACUAGAGCUGUCAUAAUUUUCAGACUAGUGUUUCUUUUUUUGCUUAGUUAAACGAGCAAAAGUCCUGCAUGAAGUGCAUCCUGUGUAAGUUUACUAAAUUUAUGGAAAUAGAGAAAUUGGUUCUUCAUUAAAACUUAUAAGAGUUCGCAAAGUUUAUCUCCAGUUCAACGUAACUGAGAUUUCUGUAGAUGGCUUGGCACGGCAAGUUGUGCGACUAGCUUAGGGAUCAAUUUUCAGCGCGAUGUUCAUAGACUGUGAUGGGCAGUCGGACACACCCAACCGACUUUAACCCCUUUCAGGAUUGAGGACAAGCUGAAAUAAUCAAGUAUGCACACGCAAAAGUGACAAACAAUGAGCCCAGCUCGUAUAGCACUUGAUUGCUUUUUAGGCAGGCCUAAGGAUGAUUUGAGCUCCUAUCUUGCUCCUUGCUUCUUCCAGAUGGCGCACAUAUGCUUGUUAUAAGUAAUAUCAGAUUGCCAGUGAUUUACGGACUUUUUGUUGUUAAUUUACAGCCAUUUUCCUAUUUGAAAAUGUCAUGCUCCGUGGCAGGAGUGCGUGCUUUGAGUCGUGUGGAAAAAAAGAACAGAACGUAAUAGGACUUAAGCCACUUUGAUUGCACUGAGUUGCAUUGGCCUCUGACAAAAGCGGUGUGCAGUGAAACUAACCUUUCAUUACAGCAUAAUGAUGAAAACUUUGCUUCUAGUAAACUUCACCAUUCUGAUGGAAAUGUUUCGCAUAUUCUAACUUUAUAUGGUUAUUGCAAUGUUUUAGCGCAAAAAAAAAAAAACUUUUUUGCAUGUUUAUUUUUGAUAUUGUUUAGUGUUCUGGAAAGGGUUAAGUGCUUAAGUAAUCCAAACUUAGCAUAAAUCAAGCAGUAAUAAAAUAUAACUAUCCUAUUAAAAUUUCCUCCUUUGUAACUGAUCAUGUCAAAUCCAUUGCAGGCAAGAACGAUCUUUAGAAUGAUGCUGUUAAGGGGAAUUUGGCAGCUGUUCUUAUGUGGUGAAGGCGGGCAAGCUCAGUAUCAGCCAGCACCCUAACCUGCAUUACAGUCCCAAAUUUGUGCUUUUAAAUGGGAUUGUCGAUUUGACUACAAGAUUAAGGUUACCUAAUGUACGCUUCACUCCAUAGACAAUAAUUUCUUGGCAUGACUUCUUCGGCCAGUUUUGCACAAUGCAUCUUCUGUUUUGCAUUCAAUGCAUUCUUCUGUUCUGCACAAUGCAUCUGACCAUCUCAGUGUUUGAGGUCGGCAAGAAGUCUGUGCACCCGUGGUGAUGGAAACUGGCAGUGUUUGUAGCAAUGUAGUGUGCUUAAGAGUUCUGUAUGGCCACGAUCAGGACGUUGGUGAUUAAUUAUGACUGAAAACAGCCUCUUUCGGACUAUUAGUACAUGCUGUAAACUCGCUUAAACGGCUUUAUCGUACCUCAUGCAUCGGUUGCUCGAAUUAACAUACAACGGCAAAUAAUUUAUCUUUUUUCAUUAUCUGCAACAACUCCUUUUUGAGGAGCCCACUUAGGUUUUCAUUGAUACACAUCCUGCUAUGGAAAAAGCGGGCAGCAUGUUUUGUUCAAGCUGUUGUAUUUUUCACCAUGGAGGGAAAAGAAAUUAGUUUAAAAAGGUGCACACAUUUGUGACGGCAGAACCACCGCAACCGCUGCUUAUUACUAGCAUGUCCUAACAAAUCUUGUAACUCGAAAUGCCAUCGCGCUUGGUUUGACAUUACAUUCUACUUCAUUACUCCCUUGUGCAUGCUUAAUUUUAUGUCAUGUGAAAGCUUGUUCAGUAGCUUCUGUGUGCAUGGAACAACUGUUUUGAUGUGUCAUACGGUAUUAGCUGUCUGAAAGUUCAUUAGAAUGCUUGCUUACUGCUGAAUGUACACGGUACACCUUGUUAAAGGAGCUGUAGUGCAGAGUCUUCCACACCGAUUCAUAUUCCCUUCAGAAAACAAGUUGCUGUGUACUUUAUCACACACGACAGUACUUGUUAUUGUUCUGGUGAGCAGUACGCAUGAAAGGUAUCUUCAAGAGAACAGAAUAUAACUUUCCAAAUAAGAUAAGAAGCACAGGCAAGGUUCCCUUGGAAAUUUUUGAGGGAUGUAAGUCAGUCAGCAAAGAUCAUUGGAAAAGAGGGGGGGUGGGGGGAGAUGUUUUGGUUGUGGCAAGUUUUCUACAGUCAGCUGUGCCAGUUUUCAGCACCAAUAUACUGGUUGUCUUUGUCUACUAGCGGUAAUAUUUUGUCAUAAAUUACUUGUCGUAUAAGUCGAAGUGUCACGCGCCUCUUCAUAUUUAAAUAAUAAUGGUCAAACGAGUCAUCAGAGGGGUCACUUGAGGCACCAAACAACUGUGAAGUGCCUUCCACAGCGUGGCUGUUUCUUUUUUCUCGACACUUCUGUGUCACUAGUGUUGGCGCGACUGACCAUGACUUCUCAUGCAUACAUAUUUUUCUUAGAUGCUGCAUUCUACAGCUAGCAUCUCGUAUUCAGGCCUACUUCUGCAAAAUAUGGUUAACAGUUGCUCUUAAGUGCAACGCAAAUGCUUUACAUUGUGUUUUUCAAACUGCACAUAGGUUCUCUUCGUGUAUCCAAGAGUUCUGUAAAAGUUUGUCAAGCCGGGCAUCAUAACUAAGCAAUUAUUGCGACCAUGGACCGAGUCGCUGUGUAAAGGAAAGACAUUUCAGUGCCCAUACAGGUUUCUUGACAACUACUUGGCAUUGCGUCACUCAAGGUCACCUUACACCAUAGCGUGGUCAGUGUCCACAAUGAUUUUUUAAACAGUUCCUUUCGUGCAUACAUAAAUCUGCGUCAUUUUAAAAGGCAUCAAGUGUGCCACGUGAAGUUUCCCAUCUCGUAAUCGUGUUGGCGACGCUGCCGUAUCUUGCCUGGCACAGAAAGCAAUCGCACAUAUGUAUAUACUGAAAGAGCUGGACAAGUUGGUACUAAUUGAACAUACUGGUAUGAAAAAGCAUGUGCGAUAAAAAUAGAAGAGCCGCACAGGGAGAUGCAUGACCAACAACUUCAGGGUUAUUGAACAUAACAGAUUUUGGAUUAUUGGAAAAUUCCAACCAUUAAUCACAUAGUUUCAAACCAAACAGAAAAAAAUGCAGCAGCAAGUAUCGAUUGGUAACCACCAGCUUUUUUUUUUUCAAGAGAGCGAAAAAGAAGCUUAGCUGAUGUUAAUCACAUCAUUUUAUUUUCUUCCACAUGUGAAAUGCUUCUAAUGCAUUGCGCAUUAUCUUGCUGCCUUUUAUGUCACGUAGUCAUUAGUGCCAUUAAGGUGUUAAAAAAUCAGAUGGCGAUGUGGGUAGGAAACUAAAGGGAAUGCCAACAUAGAUGCUUGCAUCCGCAUGGGAGAGCCCUAUAAAUUGACACGUGAUCGUCAUCAGCAUGCAAUACACAAAUGUGAGCCAUAAUUUUUUUUUAUUUUUCAAGAGAUUCAGCACUGAGUGACCACUUCCCAGAGGCUUUGCACUGGCAGUGCUGAGAAACCUAUGCAAAUGAGAUAAUAGAUUUGGUAGUAAAUGCAUGGUUUUGAAAGACGGACAUAUUUUAUGAGUGUCUUAUUUCUCUAUACACUUUAAGCCUAAUGCCAUCUUUGCUUUCGACGGUUGUUGCUGGAGCCAUUCGAAGGUGCCUUGUACCCGUUAUGCAGGAGGAGAAAGCUUAUGUCAAAUUUUGGGGACUUGAGAACUUAUAGCCACAUUGUAAGUAAACAUCUCUACUAAACUGGGUAUUUUGUUCUAACGGAUUCUGCAUUGUGAUUUGUCGUCAGAGAUGAUUGUUGAGAGGAAAGGAGAAGAAAAUGUUUACACUUAAGUAGUUUAAGGCUAGAUACAGCGAAGAGCUUAGCAAGCUCAGCAGUGCUCAUCUAAGGCUGCCACAAGAUCAUUCAGUUCUGUCAAAGUACAUAUUGUAUUGAAGACCCAAAACACGGUGAAACAUGAAAUCAUAGUGAAAUGUGCAUAAUCAUUUGCAACCAACAGGUGUCAUACGAGUGGACCGGUGACACAAGCUGGCAGACAUGUUUUUUAGGCAUGCAGUACAGAAUAGUGAAAUUUCAUAAUGAGUGUUUGCAUGGGAACAAAUUGCAAAAUAUUUUCACUUGGCACCCCGCAAAAUUGCGUUCAGGGCUUUAAACCUACUAAGACAGUCUUUUUUUCUUUUCUUUUUGCCACUUUAAUGCCUUUAUACUGCUGAUAUCCAAAUCCAGCUUUGCAAACAAGAACCGUACUAUUCAGUGGCCGUAUUCUGAAUUGAUAACUCUUGAUGUUUUUAAUGGCUUGACAUCAGGUAUUGUCUGCAUAUCACUACAAGCAACAGCAAUGC